rnacentral:rRNA from 1 species
UACGGGAGGCAGCAGUGGGGAAUAUUGCACAAUGGGGGAAACCCUGAUGCAGCGACGCCGCGUGGAGGAAGAAGGUCUUCGGAUUGUAAACUCCUGUUGUUGNGGAAGAUAAUGACGGUACUCAACAAGGAAGUGACGGCUAACUACGUGCCAGCAGCCGCGGUAAAACGUAGGUCACAAGCGUUGUCCGGAAUUACUGGGUGUAAAGGGAGCGCAGGCGGGAAGACAAGUUGGAAGUGAAAUCUAUGGGCUCAACCCAUAAACUGCUUUCAAAACUGUUUUUCUUGAGUAGUGCAGAGGUAGGCGGAAUUCCCGGUGUAGCGGUGGAAUGCGUAGAUAUCGGGAGGAACACCAGUGGCGAAGGCGGCCUACUGGGCACCAACUGACGCUGAGGCUCGAAAGUGUGGGUAGCAAACAGGAUUAGAUACCCUGGUAGUCCACACCGUAAACGAUGAUUACUAGGUGUUGGAGGAUUGACCCCUUCAGUGCCGCAGUUAACACAAUAAGUAAUCCACCUGGGGAGUACGACCGCAAGGUUGAANCUCAAAGGANUUGACGG